rnacentral:rRNA from 1 species
GACGAACGCUGGCGGCGUGCUUAACACAUGCAAGUCGAACGGAGAAUUUAUUUCGGUAAAUUCUUAGUGGCGAACGGGUGAGUAACGCGUGGGCAACCUGCCCUUCAGAUGGGGACAACAUCCCGAAAGGGGUGCUAAUACCGAAUACGAUCACGCUGUCGCAUGGCGGUGUGAUGAAAGAUGGCCUCUAUUUAUAAGCUAUCGCUGAAGGAUGGGCCUGCGUCUGAUUAGCUGGUUGGUGGGGUAACGGCCGACCAAGGCGAGGAUCAGUAGCCGGUCGGAGAGGAUGAACGGCCGCAUUGGGACUGAGACACGGCCCAAACUCCUACGGGAGGCAGCAGUGGGGAAUAUUCCGCAAUGGACGAAAGUCUGACGGAGCAACGCCGCGUGAGUGAUGAAGGUUUUCGGACUGUAAAACUCUGUUGUUUAGGACGAAAGUGCCUGUUGCAAAUAGUUGCAGGUAUUGACGGUACUGAACGAGGAAGCCACGGCUAACUACGUGCCAGCAGCCGCCGCGG